rnacentral:lncRNA from 10 species
AUUGUACAGGUCAGGCUCAGAGGUCACGUGGGCUCGGCGGCAGUGAAGCCAGGGCUGAACUCUGGUGCCGGGGACAGAGCAGUGUGGUGUCAGGCGCUGCAGGACUGCAACGCCAAGACUGGGGGCCAGAUGCCCAAGCUAAGGGACCCAUGACUCCGCUGUGACCUUGGAACUUGUCCUUGGAAGGAGGAGGGGAGUUGACCGCAUAAGGAAGAACCUGUGUUGGCCAACUUGGAUGGCAGGGGAAGAUCAACAGAAGGUGCCCUCCACCCACGUCCUCCCAGCGCUCACCUUGGUCAGCCUGGGGGCCAAGGCCGCCCGCCCGCCCGCCCGUCCUACUUAAGAGUGGCCCAGUGCUCUGGGGAUGAGAUUAAACACCAGCUUACACCCUGUGGGGGAGAAUGAAAGUUGGAGCAAGAAAUAAAAACCCAAACAAAAAAAUGCAGCUAAUUCCAUCCUGUCAGCGGUGGAUAUUAAAGACUAUG